rnacentral:rRNA from 1 species
UACGAAGGGGGCCAGCGUUGUUCGGAAUUACUGGGCGUAAAGCGCGUGUAGGCGGGUGGUUAAGUCAGGGGUGAAAUGCCGAGGCUCAACUUCGGAACUGCCUUUGAUACUGGCUAUCUUGAGUCCGGGAGAGGUGAGUGGAACUGCGAGUGUAGAGGUGAAAUUCGUAGAUAUUCGCAAGAACACCAGUGGCGAAGGCGGCUCACUGGCCCGGAACUGACGCUGAGACGCGAAAGCGUGGGGAG